UACAGGGGGGGCAAGCGUUGUUCGGAAUUAUUGGGCGUAAAGGGCUCGUAGGCGGUUUGUCGCGUCGGGAGUGAAAACACGGGGCUUAACCCCGUGCCUGCUUCCGAUACGGGCAGACUAGAGGUAUGCAGGGGAGAACGGAAUUCCUGGUGUAGCGGUGAAAUGCGCAGAUAUCAGGAGGAACACCGGUGGCGAAGGCGGUUCUCUGGGCAUGACCUGACGCUGAGGAGCGAAAGUGUGGGGAGCGAACAGG
rnacentral:rRNA from 1 species